UACGUAGGUGGCAAGCGUUGUCCGGAUUUACUGGGCGUAAAGGAUGCGUAGGCGGACAUUUAAGUCAGAUGUGAAAUACCCGGGCUUAACUUGGGUGCUGCAUUUGAAACUGGGUGUCUAGAGGUGCAGGAGAGGUAAGUGGAAUUCCUAGUGUAGCGGUGAAAUGCGUAGAGAUUAGGAAGAACACCAGUGGCGAAGGCGACUUACUGGACUGUAACUGACGCUGAGGCAUGAAAGCGUGGGGAGCAAACAGG
rnacentral:rRNA from 1 species